CUAUUCUGAAGCUGUAAGAAAACUCCCAUCGAACGCUUUCAUUUGUAAGUUGCCUUGGUAGUGGUAUUUCUUCACAGCAAUAGAAAAGUAACUAAGACACCCAUAGUGGGUCCCAGGUAUCGAACUCAGGUCACCAGGUGUCUCGGCAAGCGCUUCUAUCCACUGAGCCAUCUCAUCAGCCUGACCCAGCUCUUCAUGACGUAUUACUGACUACAUGAACAGCCAUGAUUUGGACCCUCCUGGUGGGACUAUUAUGGAUUUCUUCCCGCGUAAUCCAGAUGUCUAGGUAAUUAGGAGCACUUGCUGUUCUUGCAGAGGACCAGAGUUCAGUUCCUAUCACAACAGCCUGUAACUCCAGCUCCAGGGGAUCUGGUGCCUUCCUCUGGUCCCUUUGGGUUCCAGCACACAUGUGUGUAUACACACAGAGAGACAUGCAUGCAACACAUAAACAAAUAUUAAUUAUUGGAUAUCUCAGGGAGUAGGAGAGAAUCUCUUAGCACAUUUGAAGGCAUGGUGGUGGAUGGUGCUCACCACUGAGUAUUGCUUCAAGAAGCAGGGGUGCAGCUGAAUGGCAAUGGGUAGCUAAGAAGCCUUGGCCUUUGGAAACAUUUGAGAUUAAUGCAGGCCAGGGGCCAGAGACCUCACAAUGUACAGAACAGCCACUGCAGCAAAGAACGACGGGACGUGGAGUGCUCCUGGCAUAGAGCAGAGAUGCUGCACUCUCUCUGCCUAGAGAUGCAGGUGUGCGCACACAGGAGCCCACAAGCACUUCCGCUCUGCCGAUGGUGGGGGCACAGGCUUCCACAUCUCAUCCUUUCCAUGUGCCUGCCCAUGGAGACGGCUUUGCGUCGCGCGCAUGAGCGGAGCAUCUCCAGCCUCCAGACGCCGUUCUCUGGGCUUGGAUCACUGACUGGCUCAUUCUUCGGCUGAUGGACACUCAGGUCGUUUCUAGCUUCUGCACACAAGGUCCCAGGACAAUGCUUGUCCACAGCUUGGAGAACCCAUGGCGGACAGCUGGUGUGUCUGUCUGCUAACUCCUUCUAGUAGACUAGCUAGGUCAAAGUGGACAAGAGUUCAGGAUGCUCGCAGGUGUUGCCAAAGGCCUUCUGAAGAUACUCAUCGCGCACUCCCAUCUCCCACCAGCCUGUCAACAGGAUGCUUCUGUUCUAUUUGAAAACAAGGGUAAUUCAUAAGCGUUCAUUUUCCAGAAAACAGAAAUUGGGAUAAAGACCCCCGAGUGUCCAGUGUCAGAGGUGUUCUCUGUAAUCAGAGGGACAGAGACAAACCAACGUACAAUGUGUGUCUUGGAGUUGGCCUAGCACAGCCUCAAGGAUUCUUUGAGUUUUCAUGCAGGCCUGGGGGACGUCCAGUCUUCUUCCUCCUCCAAUUCUUCUCCUCUUAGGCAUUUACUCUUCCUUCUUGCCCUCCUCCUCCUACUUCCUCAUAGGGUUUGUACAGCCCCAAACUGACCUUGAACUGACUGGGCAGUUGAGCGUGACCUUGAACUUUUGAUCCUCCUGUCUCUGCUUUCCAAAAGUUGUGUAUUGGCUAGCUUUAUGUCAAUUUGACACAAGCUAGAGUUGUCCGAAAGGGGCGAACUUCAACUGAGAAAAUGCCUCCAUGAGAUCCAGCUGCAGGGCACUUUUUUUGUAAUCAGUAGGGGAGUACCCAGUCCAUUGUGGGUGGGGCCAUCCCCGGGCUGGUGGUCCUGGGUUCUAUAAGAGAGCAGGCUGAGCAAGCCAGGGGAAGCAAGCCAGUAAGCAGCACCCCUCCACCGCCUCUGUGUCAGCUCCUGCCUCCUGGUUCCUGUCUUGCUUGAGUUCCUGUCCUGACUUCUUUUGAUGAUGAGCAGUGAUACAGAAGUGUAAGUCAAAUAAGUUCUUUCCUCUCUAAGUUGCUUUGGUCAUGGUGUUUCAAUUAAAGCAAUAGGAACCCUAACUAAGUCGAGUUGGAUCACCAAUUCUAUUUUUAAAAAACCUUUUCUUUUUAAAUGCUUUAGCUCCCAUUUUAAAAUACUAGUAAUAAAUCCUGUAUUAUUUUAUUUGGUGUUGUAGC
ensembl:lncRNA